AUUGAACGCUGGCGGAAUGCUUUACACAUGCAAGUCGAGCGGCAGCGCGGCCUUCGGGCUGGCGGCGAGCGGCGAACGGGUGAGUAAUGCAUCGGAACAUGCCCAGUCGUGGGGGAUAACACUUCGAAAGAAGUGCUAAUACCGCAUACGUCCUGAGGGGGAAAGCGGGGGAUCGCAAGACCUCGCGCGAUUGGAGUGGCCGAUGUCAGAUUAGCUAGUUGGUGGGGUAAAGGCCUACCAAGGCGACGAUCUGUAGCUGGUCUGAGAGGAUGAUCAGCCACACUGGGACUGAGACACGGCCCAGACCCCUACGGGAGGCAGCAGUGGGGAAUUUUGGACAAUGGGGGCAACCCUGAUCCAGCCAUUCCGCGUGAGUGAAGAAGGCCUUCGGGUUGUAAAGCUCUUUCGGCAGGAACGAAACGGUGGGCUCUAACAUAGUCCGCUAAUGACGGUACCUGAAGAAGAAGCACCGGCUAACUACGUG
rnacentral:rRNA from 1 species